AAACGGACAGUAAUACCGCAUAACGUAUUUUUACCGCAUGAUAGAAAUACCAAAACUGAGGUGCCGAAGGAUGGGCUCGCGUUGGAUUAGAUAGUUGGUGGGGUAACGGCCUACCAAGUCGACGAUCCAUAGCCGGACUGAGAGGUUGAACGGCCACGUUGGGACUGAGACACGGCCCAGACUCCUACGGGAGGCAGCAGUGGGGAAUAUUGCACAAUGGGGGAAACCCUGAUGCAGCAACGCCGCGUGAAGGAAGACGGUUUUCGGAUUGUAAACUUCUGUUCUUAGUGAAGAAAAAUGACGGUAGCUAAGGAGCAAGCCACGGCUAACUACGUGCCAGCAGCCGCGGUAAUACGUAGGUGGCAAGCGUUGUCCGGAAUUACUGGGUGUAAAGGGAGCGCAGGCGGGAGACCAAGUCAGCUGUGAAAACUACGGGCUUAACCUGUAGACUGCAGUUGAAACUGGUUUUCUUGUGUGAAGUAGAGGUUGGCGGAAUUCCGAGUGUAGCGGUGAAAUGCGUAGAUAUUCGGAGGAACACCGGUGGCGAAGGCGGCCAACUGGGCUUUAACUGACGCUGAGGCUCGAAAGUGUGGGGAGCAAACAGGAUUAGACCCCCUGGUAAUCCACGCUGUAAACGAUGAUUACUAGGUGUGGGGGGUCUGACCCCUUCCGUGCCGCAGCUAACGCAAUAAGUAAUCCACCAGGGGAGUACGACCGCAAGGUGUGCAACUCAAUA
rnacentral:rRNA from 1 species